GAAAGCCUGACGGAGCAAUACCGCGUGAGGGAGGAAGGCUCUUGGGUCGUAAACCUCUUUUCUCAGGGAAGAACACAAUGACGGUACCUGAGGAAUAAGCAUCGGCUAACUCCGUGCCAGCAGCCGCGGUAAUACGGAGGAUGCAAGCGUUAUCCGGAAUGAUUGGGCGUAAAGCGUCCGCAGGUGGCGAUGUAAGUCUGCUGUUAAAGAGUCUAGCUCAACUAGAUAAGAGCAGUGGAAACUACAUAGCUAGAGUACGUUCGGGGCAGAGGGAAUUCCUGGUGUAGCGGUGAAAUGCGUAGAGAUCAGGAAGAACACCAGUGGCGAAG
rnacentral:rRNA from 1 species